rnacentral:rRNA from 1 species
CCUACGGGAGGCUGCAGUGGGGAAUUUUGCGCAAUGCUCGUAAGAGUGACGCAGCGACGCCGCGUGAAGGACGAAGGCCUUCGGGCCGUAAAGUUCUUUCGACAGGGAAGAAAAUGCCUAUAGGUAACUGUGUAUGUAUUGACGGUACCUGUAUCAGCAGCUCCGGCUAACCCCGUGCAAGCAGCCGCGGUAAUACGGAGGGGGCGAGCGUUGUUCGGAUUGACUGGGCGUAAGGAGCACGUAGGCGGUGUUGUAAGUCAUUAGUCAAAGACUAGAGCUCAACUUUAGUAAGGCUAGUGAUACUAUAAUACUAGAAUAUCAGAGCGGAUUGAAGAAUGCCUGGUGUAGCGGUGAAAUGCGUAGAUAUCAGGAGGAAUACCGUUAGCGAAGGCGGCAAUCUGGCUGGAAACUGACGCUGAGGUGCGAAAGCGUGGGUAGCAAACAGGAUUAGAUACCCCAGUAGUC